UGGAAAUGAUGAUUGUUAACUCAGAAAAAUUAUGGUGAAAUAACGUUUUAUAAGAUAGUCAAGUUCUGAUCCAG